rnacentral:rRNA from 1 species
UACGUAGGGUGCGAGCGUUAAUCGGAAUUACUGGGCGUAAAGCGUGCGCAGGCGGUUUUGUAAGCCAGAUGUGAAAUCCCCGGGCUUAACCUGGGAAUGGCAUUUGGGACUGCAAGGCUUGAGUGCGGCAGAGGAGACUGGAAUUCCUGGUGUAGCAGUGAAAUGCGCAGAUAUCAGGAGGAACACCAAUUGCGAAGGCAGCUCGCUGGGACGUUACUGACGCUGAGACGCGAAAGCGUGGGGAGCAAACAGG